CCUACUCUGUUCUUUAGAUUCUUGC
rnacentral:piRNA from 1 species